rnacentral:rRNA from 1 species
AGGAAUUGGCGGGGGAGCACUACAAGGGGUGGAGCGUGCGGUUUAAUUGGAUUCAACGCCGGGAACCUCACCGGGGGCGACGGCAGGAUGAAGGCCAGGCUGAAGGUCUUGCCGGACACGCCGAGAGGAGGUGCAUGGCCGCCGUCAGCUCGUACCGUGAGGCGUCCACUUAAGUGUGGUAACGAGCGAGACCCGCGCCCCCAGUUGCCAGUCCUCCCCGCUGGGGAGGAGGCACUCUGGGGGGACCGCCGGCGAUAAGCCGGAGGAAGGAGCGGGCGACGGUAGGUCAGUAUGCCCCGAAACCCCCGGGCUACACGCGCGCUACAAUGGGCGGGACAAUGGGAUCCGACCCCGAAAGGGGAAGGGAAUCCCCUAAACCCGCCCCCAGUUCGGAUUGCGGGCUGCAACUUCGCCCGCAUGAAGCUGGAAUCCCUAGUACCCGCGUGUC